UCAACUUUUUUAUUUCUGUGAGUGGUUUUAUUAUUUGACAUCCAAACUGCUCCAAGUCAACCCACGCUCAUUUUGUUUGUAGGUCAACCGGCUAAUGUUCGUUAGCGUCCAGUGCUACUGGUAUAGCUGGUAAAUGAUAACUAACACUGAGGGGGGAAAAAAGAGACCAUUAUGUAAAGAUCAGCCCUGCAGUGGUGUAUGCUCUGGCCUGCUUUACAGUAUACAAAAUGAACCAAGGGAAAAAUUCACCAAUGCAUAAUUUUAUCAAUGAAAUUGAAACAACGCAAAUGAGCUAUUUAGCUAUAGGUGUGAAAGCACUCUUUGUGCGAGGUCCCUAGUCUCCUCCCCUCCCUUUUCUUCUGUUUCCCUUUCCCUGUAUGUUUUGUCUUGUGUCCCUGCUCACCUGGAGAUGGGGGUGGACUCAACCAACUUGCUACAAUCAAGUCCGCUGACCUGCUGCUAAUCAUCAAUCAAGCCAUCCACUCUGUCUGCACUAUUUAAGCCCAGCUAAGUCCUCCACUCAUCGCCAGAUCGUCCGUUCACCAAGCGUGAUCUUCCAGCAACUUACUUCAACCAAACACCCAACUCCACAACCACAGCCAGCCAGCCACUCACCAUCUGCAACGCACCCUGGACACCUGAACUCUACCUGCACUUCCUCUCAUUAAAACCCUGUUUUCAAAACUUCA